rnacentral:rRNA from 1 species
UACGAAGGGGGCUAGCGUUGCUCGGAAUCACUGGGCGUAAAGCGCACGUAGGCGGCUUUCUAAGUCAGGGGUGAAAUCCCGGAGCUCAACUCCGGAACUGCCUUUGAUACUGGAAAGCUUGAGUUCGGGAGAGGUGAGUGGAACUGCGAGUGUAGAGGUGAAAUUCGUAGAUAUUCGCAAGAACACCAGUGGCGAAGGCGGCUCACUGGCCCGAUACUGACGCUGAGGCGCGAGAGCGCGGGGAGCGAACGGG